rnacentral:rRNA from 1 species
UACGUAGGGUGCGAGCGUUGUCCGGAUUUAUUGGGCGUAAAGAGCUUGUAGGCGGCUCGUCGCGUCGGGUGUGAAAACUUGCGGCUUAACCGCAAGCCUGCACCCGAUACGGGCGGGCUAGAGUUCGGCAGGGGAGACUGGAAUUCCUGGUGUAGCGGUGAAAUGCGCAGAUAUCAGGAGGAACACCAAUUGCGAAGGCAGCUCGCUGGGACGUUACUGACGCUGAGACGCGAAAGCGUGGGGAGCAAACAGG